UACGGGGGGAGCAAGCGUUGUUCGGAUUUACUGGGCUUAAAGGGCGCGUAGGCGGGCAGGCAAGUCGAAGGUGAAAUCCCACGGCUCAACCGUGGAAGUGCCCCCGAUACUGCCUGUCUCGAGGGAGAUAGGGGCGUGCGGAACUUCCGGUGGAGCGGUGAAAUGCGUAGAUAUCGGAAGGAACACCGGUGGCGAAAGCGGCGCGCUGGAUCUCUUCUGACGCUGAUGCGCGAAAGCCAGGGGAGCAAACGGG
rnacentral:rRNA from 1 species